rnacentral:rRNA from 1 species
GGGAUACCCCUUGGAAACAGGUGCUAAUACCGGAUAACAACAAUAGCUGCAUGGCUAUUGCUUAAAAGGCGGCGAAAGCUGUCGCUAAAGGAUGGACCCGCGGUGCAUUAGCUAGUUGGUAAGGUAAUGGCUUACCAAGGCGACGAUGCAUAGCCGAGUUGAGAGACUGAUCGGCCACAUUGGGACUGAGACACGGCCCAAACUCCUACGGGAGGCAGCAGUAGGGAAUCUUCCACAAUGGGCGAAAGCCUGAUGGAGCAACGCCGCGUGAGUGAAGAAGGUUUUCGGAUCGUAAAGCUCUGUUGUUGGUGAAGAAGGAUAGAGGUAGUAACUGGCCCCUAUUUGACGGUAAUCAACCAGAAAGUCACGGCUAACUACGUGCCAGCAGCCGCGGUAAUACGUAGGUGGCAAGCGUUGUCCGGAUUUAUUGGGCGUAAAGCGAGCGCAGGCGGAAAGAUAAGUCUGAUGUGAAAGCCCCCGGCUUAACCGAGGAAUUGCAUCGGAAACUGUGUUUCUUGAGUGCAGAAGAGGAGAGUGGAACUCCAUGUGUAGCGGUGGAAUGCGUAGAUAUAUGGAAGAACACCAGUGGCGAAGGCGGCUCUCUGGUCUGUAACUGACGCUGAGGCUCGAAAGCAUGGGUAGCGAACAGGAUUAGAUACCCUGGUAGUCCAUGCCGUAAACGAUGAGUGAUAGGUGUUGGGA